UCGUGACCUGGCCGAAGUCGGACGCUUAACCGACUGCGCCACCCAGGCGCCCCCCUCCCUCAUCUUAAAAUAUUUCAGCACAUAACUCCUAAAAGUAAGAACACUCUUUUCAUAACCCCAGGGCAGUUACAAUAUCAGGAAACUGAUAUUCAAAUAAUACUGUAAACUAAUAUAAACUAAUAGCAGACCUUAUGCAAAUUUUGUUACUUGUCCCACUAAGUGUCCUUUAUCUGGGCCAGGACCCAAUCCAGAGUCACACAAAUUUAGCUGUGAUAUCUCUUCAGUUUUCUUUACUCUAGAACAAUCCUUCAGUCUUUGUUUCUAUAGAAACUUAACACUUCUGAAGAGUACUGGUCAGUUAUUUUGAAGAAUGUCCCUAAAUGUGAGUUUGUCUCAUGUUUUCUUUCACGAUUCAAUCCAAGUUCUGCAUUUUUGGCCCAAAUGGGGCCAUUCAUUGAUUGAUUCACAUCAGUGUGGACUCACUCAUGGAUGCUUUGUUAUUCUAGAAUCCACAUCUUUGCCACAUGUCAGUUCACUCAUUCAUUGAUUCACACCAGUAUGGACUCAUUCAUGGAUCCUUUGUUUUUCUAGAAUCCGUAUCUUUUGCCACAUGUCAGUUUUCUUUCCAUGAUAUGGUUCUGCUGCUUAUAAUCCUGUUAUUCCAGAGAUGAUUUUAUUAGUUUAUCACAUCGAUUCAAAAACCAAACUGAAAAAUUUUUCAGACCAUAAACUUCAGGAUAGCCCUCCUCUUUCUUGCAGUGCAGGCUCCAAGCUAGAGCCAAGGAAUAUCAGCAGUCUUAAGGAUGCCAGAAGUAUUGCUCUGGGUCAUAUUUUCCAGGGUCAUUAUAAUAAAUUUUAAAGAUUUUGCCUUAAAGUCAAUGCCUUCAUUAUUCCCUACCCACCUUCAACUCCUCUUAGACCAUGUGAGGAAUGGGCAUAAGGACCAUGUUAUGGUGCUUGAGCUAAAGGAGGGUGCAUCCUUAAACUCAGGCAGAGCCAGUCAUGGCCGCAUCUAGGACACUAUGCAGGAAGGACCCUAUGUGGGUAGAAACUGCCCUACUUGGCAAGCUCUCUUUCUCUUUGGUCACCCUCCUACUUCAUUUUCCCUGGAGUACCUGAAGGAGGGACAUAUGGUUUGCACUGGUAUUUGGUUGUAUGAGUCCAAAGGAAAAUGCCAACUCGCAAGUAAAUAUUUGCCAUUUGGGAUGGCUAAUUACACUGUAUGAUUUUAAAAGAAAUGAGCAUUUACCCCAUCCUCGAUUUCACCAUCAUGUCCUUGUGCAAGAAAAAUAAAUCAGCUGUAUAGCAGAAGCAAGAUGUGACUUUUUAAAAAAUCUAAACAUUUUUUGUUUUUAGAAACAGAUAUGGCUGACUCAGAGUCACGAAAGAAAGAAAGAAAGAAAGAAAGAAAGAAAGAAAGAAAGAAAGAAAACCCUGCCGGCUAGACAAAGAGGAUGAUUCUGUUUUCUCCUUCAGGCAAGAAAGCUGAGGCUCAGAGGUUUUAUGACUCGCCCAAGGCCAGAGCUGACAGGUUGCAGUGCUGAACUCUCUCUGUUUGAAUCUUCUUAGUUAAUUUUGUUCAAUUCAGCAAAUAUUUAUCAAAUGCUUCCAUGUGCCAGGUGCUGUCCCAAGUCUGAGGAGAAAAACAAGGAAAGACCUUGAGAUGCUCUUAGUGAAGGGCUUCUUAUUUUUAUCCAUCAGCAUGUGACUGGAGGUGGCAGGUAAAUGUGGGCGUUUUGAGGUUGUAUCAGGUAGGAUGUGUUUCUAUUCGGUUGUAACAGGAAAUCCAACUCAAACUGACUUAAACAAUAAGGAGGACACAUCGUGCCCGGGAAGGCUAUUAUCGCCUAAUAUCCAUUUCCUCUUCUAGAGGAGCAGAGCCUCCAAUUUUUAGCCGGGCAUAUGGCUGUGUAGACUAAAGAAAACAUUUCUCAGACACACCUGAAGCUAGGUGUGGCCAUAUAACUAAGUUAUUGCACAUAACCAGAAGUGCUAUGUGUACUUUCUGGGAAAUGCCUUUCCCUUUUGUCCUUCUUGCUGACUGGACUCAGGUCUGAUGGGAGAAGCUGGAGCAGCCAUCUUGGGCCACAGGGGAAGAAAUUCUGUGUUAAAAUGGCAGAGCUACCACACCUAAGGCAAUAUAUCCCUGGACUGUCUGCCUGGACUUGGGUGUUGUUGUUGUUGUUAACCUGAGAAAGAAAGAAAUCUUGAACUUGUUCAAGCCACUGUUAUUUGGAGUUUUCAGUUACUUGCAACUGGGCCUGAUCCUAACUCCUAUAUUUACAUAGCUGGAAGUCCUGGAGGAAGGGUGGACUUCAGUGUUGGUUUGAUUUCACAGCUCAAUGAGAGUAUCAAGGAAUCAGUUUUGUCCAGAACUUGGUUUUGCCUUUGAUGUCAGUUGCAUCCUAAGGCUGGCUCUCUUUCACGGGACAAGAUGACAGCUAACAAAAAGAUAAAUAUAUGCUUCCUUAUCAACUUUCAGAGAGAGAGAGAGAGAGGGAGGGAGGGAGAGAGAGAGAGAGAUACAGAAGUGCUCUCAUAAAAACAACGAGGUUCCUUUCCCAGAAACCCGCUGACAUCAUCUUGCUUUUCAUUGACCCACAUAAGGUCAAAUGCAGCCAGGGGAAUGCCAUGAACUGAUCAGUUUAGUUUCUGAUGGAACCAAUCACCUCGGCAAGGGAAUUGGGCUUACACUCAUUGCCUACUGCUGGAGGUGGGGUAUUUUUUUCUUUUUAAAUUUGGGAUAACAUACUAAUUUAGGGUCAGUUUAGGGAUGUCAGUUCUUGGCAUCAAUGAAUUCAACCUGCAGUUUGUACUGUCUUUGAAGGGCCCCCACAGUUCACGGUGGAAGAGGCAGCAUAACACCUUCCUGUGUAUUUGCUAAAAGGAUUCAGUGAAAUGUGUAGCUGUCCUAUUUCAGGGAAUUUCUCUCAGUGGGCUAGAAGGAGUCGUUUUGCUGGUGAGUCCAAAUGGAUCCAUGCUGUCCCCAGAUCAAUCCCCUGGAAAUGGACAAAGCUGUCAGUACUACCCCCUCCCAGGGGAGGGCUCCUAUCUGAGAAUUUCUCCUCUAGCUUGCCCCCAGCCCCCUUCCUCCAAGGCUACCUGAAGUACCUAUAAUUCCUGGAAUUCCUAUUCCUUGGGAGUAAACCAUCUUUUCAGAAAGUCUCCGUUAACCUUGGAGGAGUGACACAUUGAAUCUCAGCACAAACGUAUUGAUCAGGUUAAUUAGAAUCCUCCCCCCUCACCACCUUCUCCAACACCAGGGACAUGGGGUCAGUGGGCAGUUGGGGUGUUAUGGUAGAGAAGAAAAAGUUCCUGGUUUCUGGCUACUCAGAGAGGGCAGGUAGGAUAUCAAAAUGGGGGUCCUGAGUCCCUGGCCAAGAUAGGAGGUGGGGAUAAUAAGAAAGAUCAGGAAGUGAGGUAAUGGAGGAACAUGGAAGCCGAUUUCAGCGACUUACUGAUUUAGCCAAAGGUAACCCUGUGCAAUCUAUGCUGAGUGACCAAUAGUUAUCGUUUGAUUUUGUGGCUGCACAACAGCUCUAUUACUUCCCAUUUUGGGUGCCCCGGUGGCUGCCAGAAUCUCUCAAGUUUUGUUUCUUGCCCAUCCAUCUGGCUUGUGGCUUGCCCACACGGCUCAGGACGCAGCCUUGUUAAAAUGACAGGACUCCAUGAGUCUCCCCAAAAUGGAAAGGAACAACCAGAAGGAGGGCAUCCAUUCAGUACAGAAAUCACAUCAGAGAAGGAGCAAUGCCAGAAACACUGGCUCGAAAUAGAAUCAGGGGGAGCUGAGCACAGUGGAAAGCAAAAGGUCUUCUCCGUUCUUUUCAACCAACUCUAAAAGCGAUUCUACAGUAAAUAUCUUUUUCUGUAGUAAAUCCAUCCGGGUAAUAUGUUCCAACAGCCAUCCGUUCAUUAGCUUGUGUAAGCUUAUCACUUAUAGCAAUUAGAUAUUCGGUGCCUAAUCCAAAACUCUCCACACCUUAUUCAUUCUUCCCUGGGGCCAUUUCUGAAGUUCCUCUGAAAGGCUUCAUUUCACUCUCACAUUAGCACUUCUCCAUCCUCCCUGGACCAUUCAUAUGCAAAUCACAUGGCCAGGGAAGGGUGGUGGUGAGUGAUAAAAAUGUGGAUCUCAGAGCUCCACCCAGAAUCUUCUAAACUAGGCUCUCUGUGAGCAGGGCCCAGAAAUGAACGUUUUAAGACAGCAAGUCAUGUGAUUUUAAUGCAGUCUAAGGUUUAAGCACACUGAUUCCUAGAGAGUGCCAACAAUAAUACCUCACGGUUGGGGCAACUGGGUGGUUCAGUCUGGUAAGUGUCUGACUCUUGAUCUCAUCUCAGGUCAUGGUCUCAGGGUUCAUGGGCUGAGCCCCGAGUUGGGCUCUGCACUGAUGGAGUGGAGCCUGCUUGGGAUUCUCUCUCUCCCUCUCUCUCUCUGCCCCUCCCCUCCUGUAAUAAAUUUAAAAAAAAAAAAACCCAAAAAACUUACAGUUUGAUGGGACUCUAUGCUUUAACAAAGACUUUUGUAUAACAUCUCAUUUGAGCCUCACCACAAGCCUCGGGAAGAAUGUCACAGCAGGUAUGAUUAUUUCCAUCUUAUGAAGGGGAGAUCACACUUCUGUGCCUUCAAGUAACUUGCACGAGGUCACACACUCAUAAGUGGGGUUGCGUGGACUGCAAUUCAGAUCUUAUAGUACCGAGUUCAGUGCUCCUGCCAUUACCCUGAAUGGUAACAACAUUUUGAUUGACUGAAUGUCAGUCACUGUCUAAAAGAAAACAUAGUCUGAGCAGCCAUGGGAAGAAGCAUCCUUUGUGGAAAGAGAAAAUAAAACUAUAAGAACUUGGAAAAUGUCAAUAGCCAGCACACUUACGGUCAUCAAUGGUCUAAUCAUAAUGUUAAAUUUGUUCACUACAAGUAUCAGAAGAUUCAUUUUUAUUACAUAUUGAGAUUUGGCCUCGUUGACUCAAUUAAUUGGUCAGGACCGUCGAAUUUUCACAAUGGUGAACCACGUGAUCAGAAAUUCCAUUAAGUGAAUGCUAACUACGUUGAUUUACUUUUAAUGAUGAUGAUGCUGAAGGAACAUCCAUGUGACUCAAACCUGAGUCAAGGACAGACGAGGAAUUAUUCAUACCUAAUGUUCCUUUGUCAGCAAUCCAUGGUGUCCCAGUUUCAUUCUGAAAUUUUAGUGGAAUUAAAUCUGAGAAGCUGAAAAAAUUAUAUCAUGAACUGCAAUUUGGUUGAGCUCCAACCAUUAGGCAAUUCAAGGCCGCUAAUGGGACACACACGCGUUGGCGAUUAAUUCCACAGCCACAGUGUUAGGCAGAUGAGUAAUCCCUGCUGAACCCCUACACACCUGUGUGAUGGUUAACUUUAUGUGUCAAUUUGACCGGGUCACCCAGGAUGCCCACAUAUCUCGUUAAAACAUCGUUUCUGGGUGUGUCUGUGAGAGGGUUUCUGGAAGAGAUUAGCAUUUGAAUGGGACUGAGUAAAGCAGAUCCCUAGUGUGGUCGUCAUCCAGUCUGUGGAGGAACUGUAUAGAAUGAAAAAAGUGGAAGAAGGGCCCCUUUGCUCUCUGUCUGACGUUGUCUCCUGUGACAUUGGUCUUCCCCUGCACAGGGACUGGGACUUAACAUCAUCUGCUCUCUUGGUUGUCGAGCCUUGGGGCUUGGACUGAAACUACGCUGGUUUUCCUGGGUCUCCAGCUUGCAGAGGACAGUGGAAUUUCUCACCUUCCUUAUUCAUGUGAGCCAAUUCCUCCCCACCCUGCCAUAUAUAGAAAGAGAGCGAGGCGGGGUGUGUGCGCGCGUGUGUGUGUGUGUGUAUGUCUAUCUCCUAUUGACUCUAUUUCUCUGGAGAAUCCCGACUAAUAUACCAUGUACCCCCGCGCUCCCGACUUUUCACCUCAAGAUCUCCGUGGCUGCAUUGUGGGGUCAGAUGAGUCACAUUUAGCCUUGCUCCCCGCACCAGCUAUUGGAUUUACAACCUAACGCUAAGGCAACCUGGGUUAUGGGUUGGGCCCCACAUGGAACUGCUAGCUUGGCUUUAUUUCGUGACUUUAGGCUCAGCUCCACUCAUGGGCAGCCACUCGCGCUGUGAGGAGCACAAAUGGUCGGUUCAUCGGGGUCGGAAAGGCCAGGGCCCUUCCCAGCAUUGCCUCAGAAAGCAACUCUGGAAAGACACUGCAGAAGCUGAAUCAGUCCUUUGUUAACUUGGGCCCUGUGUGAAUUUUUAUGUCCCAUUUGGUGAAAAAUGCAGAUUAGGCUGCUGGGUUUAAAAACAUUUUGCUAACAGUCACUUAUGGAUUAAUUAGAGCCGACCCUGAGUUAGGAUGAAUCCAGGCCAUUUUGGGGGCAAUCUGAGUAGCAUAUGUGAUGGUAAUUCCCUAAGCACCCGUCGGGCUGUAUAUGUUUUGGUGACCAUUCCAUCAAAUAUUCUUUUUUUUUUAAAACUUUUUUGGUGCCCAGAAAUUUAUCUGUCCACCAGUGGGAUAAAUAUACUAGCUUGUUUUCUAGUUUUCAAAAACAGUUUGUGGUUGUUUAAUAAUUCUUUGAACCAUGUGUGUUUGUCAAAUGUACGAUGCAUGUAAUGGGUAUGAAUUGUUCCACUGGGCUUGAGGCACAAGAAACAUCACUUUACUUUUCCAGCUCAAUACCUUCUCCCUGGGCCUGGGCAUGGAUUAUUGAGGGAGGGGGGCCUUGCUCUCCCUAGCUUCUCCCUGGGUUGUGCCAGGCACUCAGGAUUCACUCAGUCUAGGAGGACGGGGAGAGAGGCCUCUGUCGGUACCCCAUUUGGUCACUGCAGGUGCCCCCUGUGCAAGCCCACACACACCUACCUCCCGGAGGCCAUCAGGCCCUGCAGCUACAUUCCCUCCUCAGCAGGCCAGACAGCCUGACAGUUGCUCCCCAGCUGAGGAGCUUGAUAUCUGGCCUCGACAACAUCCCAGCAGCCACUCCCCAUUCAAGGUCCUGCCACCUCCUGGGUGCUGUGCGGGACCCUCUCCUCAGAGAACCCUCAAACCGGAGAUCCAACUGCUUUCGGUCAUCAAGCCUCUUCCCAAUUCUAGACACUUCAUGGCUCCCAAUCCCACCCCCACCCCACCCCCAGCCUCCUCCUGCCUGGGAACCAGUGCUCCCAAACAAAGGUUUGGUCCUAACACACAAAAUGUGUCCCUUGGGAACCAGGAACACAGAAACACCAAGGCUGGCUGCCUUUUCUGAUAGGGGUAAAAGGAAAAUUCCCUUCAGUCUCUGCUGAUGAAUUCACAGCAGGAAAGGAAAAAAAAAAGCCACCACAAAACCAUAAGCCACAAAAAAGGCGAGACACCAGAUACUUUCUCAAUAAUUCAUUCCAAGUAUGAGUAUACAUGUAUGUAUAAUUAUUCUCCCAUUUUUCCUCCAGUUUUGUUUAAAUAAUGUUUCCUUUUUAAAAUCACUAUGCUGCUUAGGGGCGCUUGGCUCAGUUGGUUAAGCCUCUCUCAACUUCGG